GACGAACGCUGGCGGCGCGCUUAACACAUGCAAGUCGAACGGAAAGGCCUGCUUUCCCUUGUGGAUUGCGGGUACUCGAGUGGCGAACGGGUGAGUAACACGUGAGUGAUCUGCCCCCAACUUGGGUAUAAGCCUGGGAAACUGGGUCUAAUUCCCGAUAGGACUGCAGGGUGGUGCCUGUGGUGGAAAACGAUUUUCUAGUGGUUGGGGAUGAGCUCGCGGCCUAUCAGCUUGUUGGUGGGGUAAUGGCCUACCAAGGCGGCGACGGGUAGCCGGCCUGGGAGGGUGGACGGCCACAUUGGGACUGAGAUACGGCCCAGACUCCAACGGGAGGCAGCAGUGGGGAAUAUUGCACAAGGGGCGGAAGCCUGAGGCAGCGACGCCGCGUGGGGGAUGACGGCCUUCGGGUUGUAAACUCCUUUCGACCGCGAGGAAGCCACCUGGUUGGAAGGGUGGUGACGGUAGUGGUAGAAGAAGCACCGGCUAACUACGUG
rnacentral:rRNA from 1 species